rnacentral:rRNA from 1 species
ACAAUGGAGAGUUUGAUCCUGGCUCAGGAUGAACGCUAGCGGCAGGCUUAAUACAUGCAAGUCGAGGGGCAGCAUGGUUGUAGCAAUACAACUGAUGGCGACCGGCAAACGGGUGCGGAACACGUACACAACUUACCCUGAACUGGGGGAUAGCCUUCCGAAAGGGAGAUUAAUACCUCAUAGGAUCGUGGAGUGGCAUCACUCAGCGAUUAAAGCUCCGGCGGUUUAGGAUGGGUGUGCGGCUGAUUAGGUAGUUGGUUGAGGUAACGGCUCACCAAGCCUGCGAUCAGUAACUGGUGUGAGAGCACGACCAGUCACACGGGCACUGAGACACGGGCCCGACUCCUACGGGAGGCAGCAGUAAGGAAUAUUGGUCAAUGGACGCAAGUCUGAACCAGCCAUGCCGCGUGAAGGAUGAAGGUCCUCUGGAUUGUAAACUUCUUUUAUAGGGGACGAAAUCAACAUUUCCAUGUUGUCUGACGGUACCCUAGGAAUAAGCACCGGCUAACUCCGUGCCAGCAGCCGCGGUAAUACGGAGGGUGCAAGCGUUAUCCGGAUUCACUGGGUUUAAAGGGAGCGUAGGAGGGCAGGUAAGUCAGUGGUGAAAUCUUUGGGCUUAACCCGAAAACUGCCAUUGAUACUAUCUGUCUUGAAUAUGGUGGAGGUGAGCGGAAUAUGUCAUGUAGCGGUGAAAUGCUUAGAUAUGACAUAGAACACCGAUUGCGAAGGCAGCUCGCUACGCCUAUAUUGACUCUGAGGCUCGAAAGCGUGGGGAUCAAACAGGAUUAGAUACCCUGGUAGUCCACGCCCUAAACGAUGGAUACUCGACGUGUGCGAUAUGACUGUACGCGUCUGAGCGAAAGCAUUAAGUAUCCCACCUGGGAAGUACGACCGCAAGGUUGAAACUCAAAGGAAUU